CGUUGACAAAGUUGGAAAAGCAAUUCCAAACCAAGUGUAGUGAACUGGACUCUACUCCUUGCUCGGCUCAUGUUUCAAGUAUGACUCUUUUUUAUGAAUAAUGACCAACCCUCUUCUCCCCUUUAUUUAAAUAGAAGCACUAUUUUUUCAUUUGUAACUUGGAUCUGAUGUGAAGCAACAACCUCCUUCUAUGCAUUUUAAUCCUAACAUAAUGAGCACACGGUCAUCCAUGACUGCAUCUGCAUAUACAGCCCUGAGAGCUCCCUGAUGAAAGUUUUAAGUAUCGAUUAAUAUAUUAUAAAAAGAUGCCCUUUGUUUGAAUUUAUUUAGACCAUCACACUUAAGAUAGCCUUUGCUUUGUCGGUACUUGCCUUACCAACCUGUUGAACUUGAACAAAACAGAGGUAGUAAGUGACCCAGAGGAGUUUGAUAUAUAGAUCGUGUCGCUCGAACCAUGCUGAUUGCUUAGAAACAGGUACGGGUCCUGAUAGAAGGCACGGUUUCUGUAUGUACACUGGAGACUGGACCGUGCAUGGCUGCGUAAUUAUUUUGCUGAUCUCCUCGUGGGCAUAGCUCAUGGUUGGUUACUGGAUCAACGAAGCCAACUUGUUCCUAGCUGCUCUGGAUCCGGAUCGUGACAGGAAUUUCCUGCCGUGUGUCGCCCAGCUCCGGAUCGAAGCUGCUCUACCGCCCGAUACCCGCGUACGCCUGCUCCUCGCUAGCGUUCAAGUCGUUGGCCGCCUGUAGUUCACAC
rnacentral:lncRNA from 1 species